rnacentral:rRNA from 1 species
CGAGACCUCAGGUCCAGGGCGGGGCUACCCGCUGAAUUUAAGCAUAUCAAUAAGCGGAGGAAAAGAAACUAACAAGGAUUCCCUUAGUAACGG